GUUCUAAAUCACAUAUAAUGAGAAUUCUAAGUUUUAGAACAUCGGAUAUAUGUGACAUGGGAUGAUCAUCUGAGCCAUCUAACACGUUCGCUGUUUGCUGUACUGGGAACGAGCUAUUUGUUAUUAUUGCGUAUUAUAAAUUCUAAAUAGAAGUUCGCCAAAAUGGCGGAUUCUUGCAAGCGUUUUAAGGCAUGCAAAAUUCGCGUUAAUACGCAGUCAACAAAGGGAAAAAAAACUACAAGACAUGUGCGUUUAAAUUCAAAGAACUAUUGCAAGAUUUCUCAGGAGUCAAGUUCGAGUAAGCAGAAGUCUUUCACAACGGGAAUGGAAGAAGAACAUGUUGAUGGUUCAAAUAUCGACGAUAUAAAUAGCAGCCAUGAAAGUGAUGACCAAGCUUUUUCUAGUCUUUCACGAUAUCACUUGCGCCGGGUAAAAGAGUAUCACAGUUGGGAAGAUGUGAGGGGGUCUCUUUUGCAAGCACGCAUUGAGGAAGAAGCUUUUUGUGACGAAAGUAUAAUGUGCAUCGAGUGCCAUAACAACUUCGCUGUUUGUCGCUGCGUGGAUUGUGGUCCUAGACAGUUGUUUUGCAUCAACUGCGCGAAAACUAUCCACGAACAACGCAACGUCUUUCACCUACUUGAAAUUUUCAAGGAUGGUUGUUUUGUUCCUUUAUUUGUUAAUCAUGGUGUUUUGACUCUUGAUCACCAAAGAAAUUGUCCAACUGCACAAGCACAAAACAUUAUUUGUAUUGAUGAAAAAGGGCAUCAACACUUGAAAUGGAUCAACUUUUGUAACUGUGAAGAUGCUGCAGUUACACUUAGCUUGUAAAGUUCCAAUUAUGGCCAGGAUCAGCUGUUAGACCUCAGGUUGCAUUUCAUUUUAAGUUGGUUACACUUGCUGAGACACUUCUAUUGGAAUGCCAUGUAUCGUUAAAGAAAUUUUGUGAUGUGUUGGGCCUCAAUAAGUCCAAUAUGCUUCCUGUUUGGGUUAAGAAUCUCUAUAAAAUAUUGAAUGAUGAUUCUUUUGAUGAAUUUAGAUAUCACCAACAUUUGUUCAAAACAAUGAAACAAUUUGUCUUGCAACAAAAACCUGACAAUGUUUGCCCGUUAUGUCCUUUGCAGAGUGAAACUGAUACUGACAAGAAUGUUGCCAUUGAGUGCAUGGAUGGAUGUUUUGGGCUUGUGAGAAAAAAGUCUGCUGGUGCGAAUCUUUUACCUGCCAGACACAA